UACGUAGGGGGCAAGCGUUGUCCGGAUUUAUUGGGCGUAAAGCGCGCGCAGGUGGUCUUUCAAGUCAGUGGUGAAAGCCCGGAGCUCAACUCCGGAAAUGCCAUUGAAACUGUAAGACUUGAGGAUGAGAGAGGUGAGUGGAAUUCCCAGUGUAGAGGUGAAAUUCGUAGAUAUUGGGAAGAACACCGGUGGCGAAGGCGGCUCACUGGCUCAUAUCUGACGCUCAGGCGCGACAGCGUGGGGAGCAAACAGG
rnacentral:rRNA from 1 species